GAGAAAUAGGUGGCAGUUUCUCUAGCAGCAUAAGAAGAACCUUGAUAAGCAUCAUCCUUAAGUCCUGACAGCAGUGGAUGACUAGUCAGGAACCUGUCCAGGAGGACAUUGACAUGGAUCUGCCAGCUUUCUAAGACUUUCCCCAGAUUCAAGUCCAGUCACAUCAAGUUGCCUUAUUAAAGGGUCUGCCCACUCAAAAGGAGAAAGUGCAAAAGAUGCUCAGCAAGGGUAGCAAACGCAGUCAGAUGAUACUUCCUGACAGCAUCCAAGAGCAAGUCUCACCACCACAUCUGUCAAUAAAAAAGAAAACAAGGAGCUGCCAAUUUGUCUAUUUAUAGGUGCCAAUAAAAUCCUGCACAGAA
rnacentral:lncRNA from 1 species